rnacentral:misc_RNA from 1 species
GAUGAAGAACGUAGCGAAGUGCGAUAAGUAAUAUGAAUUGCAGAAUUCCGUGAAUCAUCGAAUCUUUGAACGCAAAUUGCACUCUCUGGUAUCCCGGGGAGUAUGCCUGUUUGAGGGUCAGUGUUAAUAAAAAUCGGUGCGUUGCACUUUAUUGUGACGUUCUGGAGUUUGAGUUAUCUUAACUUUUAGGUUAAGAGGCUUAAAAUUGACCUUUUUUUGUGCAUUUUAGACGUACAUAAAUUUUCUUUUAUUUGUCUUUUAAUGCCAAAAUUAUAUUAGAUGCGACCAUAUCGUGUGGUUUCGUGUCUAUAAAUUUUUCAUGAUUUGACCUCAAAUCAGGUAGGAGUACCCGCUGAACUUAAGCAUAUCAAUAAGCGGAGGA